rnacentral:rRNA from 1 species
CCUACGGGGGGCAGCAGUGGGGGAUAUUGCACAAUGGGGGAAACCCUGAUGCAGCGACGCCGCGUGUGGGAAGACGGUCCUCUGGAUUGUAAACCACUGUCCCCAGGGACGAAGAUGAUGGUACCUGGGGAGGAAGCUCCGGCUAACUACGUGCCAGCAGCCGCGGUAAUACGUAGGGAGCGAGCGUUGUCCGGAAUUACUGGGUGUAAGGGGAGCGUAGGCGGGACUGCAAGUUGGGUGUCAAAUCUACCGGCUCAACCGGUAGCCGCACUCAAAACUGCAGUUCUUGAGUGAAGUAGAGGCAGGCGGAAUUCCUGGUGUAGCGGUGAAAUGCGUAGAUAUUAGGAGGAACACCAGUGGCGAGGGCGGCCUGCUGGGCUUUUACUGACGCUGAGGCUCGAAAGUGUGGGGAGCAAACAGGAUUGGAUACCCCGUAGUC